UUUGCCUACGGGGGGCAGCAGUGGGGGAUAUUGCACAAUGGGGGAAACCCUGAUGCAGCGACGCCGCGUGAGCGAGGAAGUACCUCGGUAUGUAAAGCUCUAUCAGCAGGGAAGAAAGUGACAGUACCUGACUAAGAAGCCCCGGCUAACUACGUGCCAGCAGCCGCGGUAAUACGUAGGGGGCAAGCGUUGUCCGGAUUCACUGGGCGUAAAGGGAGCGCAGGCGGCACGGCAAGUCUGAUGUGAAAACCCAGGGCUCAACCCUGGGACUGCAUGGGAAACUGCCGGGCGGGGGUGCCGGAGGG
rnacentral:rRNA from 1 species